rnacentral:rRNA from 1 species
GUGCCAGCAGCCGCGGUAAUACAGAGGGUGCGAGCGUUGUCCGGAAUCACUGGGCGUAAAGGGCGUGUAGGUGGCUUGGUAAGCCGCGUGUGAAAUCCCGGGGCUCAACCCCGGAACGGCACGCGGGACUGUCAGGCUAGAGCAUGGUAGAGGCGAGUGGAAUUCCUGGUGUAGCGGUGGAAUGCGUAGAGAUCAGGAAGAACACCGGUGGCGAAGGCGGCUCGCUGGGCCAUUGCUGACACUGAGGCGCGAAAGCGUGGGGAGCAAACAGGAUUAGAAACCCCGGUAGUCC